AUUGAACGCUGGCGGCAGGCCUAACACAUGCAAGUCGAGCGGCAGCGGGACCUUCGGGUUGCCGGCGAGCGGCGGACGGGUGUGUAAUGCCUAGGAAUCUGCCUGUUAGUGGGGGAUAACGCGGGGAAACUCGCGCUAAUACCGCAUACGUCCUACGGGAGAAAGCGGGGGCUCUUCGGACCUCGCGCUAACAGAUGAGCCUAGGUCGGAUUAGCUAGUUGGUGGGGUAAUGGCCCACCAAGGCGACGAUCCGUAACUGGUCUGAGAGGAUGAUCAGUCACACUGGAACUGAGACACGGUCCAGACUCCUACGGGAGGCAGCAGUGGGGAAUAUUGGACAAUGGGCGAAAGCCUGAUCCAGCCAUGCCGCGUGUGUGAAGAAGGUCUUCGGAUUGUAAAGCACUUUAAGUCGGGAGGAAGGGCUGUAGGCUAAUACCUUGCAGUUUUGACGUUACCGACAGAAUAAGCACCGGCUAACUUCGUGCCAGCAGCCGCAGUAA
rnacentral:rRNA from 1 species